rnacentral:rRNA from 1 species
CGCGUAGGCGGUUUUGUAAGUCGAAUGUGAAAGCCCCGGGCUUAACCUGGGAAUUGCGUUCGAUACUGCGAAACUAGAGUACAGUAGAGGGAAGUGGAAUUCCGGGUGUAGCGGUGAAAUGCGUAGAUAUCCGGAGGAACACCAGUGGCGAAGGCGACUUCCUGGGCCAGUACUGACGCUGAGGUGCGAAAGCGUGGGGAGCAAACA